AUCACUUUCUGUGUGUUUCUUCAACUGGUUGACAAAGGCAUGAAAGACAGGUGCAAAAGUAAAUCCUGUUUUGCAACCCGGAACUCACUGUUCAGUAUGAGUUUUGAUACAUACAAGGAGUAUGAC
rnacentral:snoRNA from 1 species